AGUCCUGUGGUGUACUGGUUUGAGCGUUGGACUACGACUCUGGGGACCCAGGUUCAAAUCCUGACUUGGCCA